CUAUUUCUUGCUGACAUGCAAAUUCUAUGUUCUAUAGACAAAGCUUCCUUGUAAAACUAUGGGGGGCCUCCUAGAGGUAUAGCAAGAGGAUUUAAAGGGGCCUUACAGAUUUAUAGAGGCCUAAUAAUUCUACAACAGUCCCCCCUAAAAUGUUAUUUGCUAAAAGACAAAACUUUAUUUGUUAGUAUCAGAAGAAGUAUUAGCCCAAAGACACAGAAACCCCAUGACCGCUGACUUAGUGUUAAUGCAAAGUGCAAGUCUAUCCCUCUCUUGACCCUAACAGGCUGCAGCACAUCCGUCAGUACGGUUCAGGAACACUCUUCACUCCGCUGGUAACCCAUAGUGGCUUAUCCACUACUUCUCCGUACGGCAGUCCACCCAUAAAGACGGACGCUGUCCCUGUACUGUC